AGCAGCCGCGGUAAUUCCAGCUCCAAUAGCGUAUAUUAAAGUUGUUGCAGUUAAAAAGCUCGUAGUUGAAUUUCGGGGUCUGUCCGUCGGUCGGGCUUCACGGUCCGUACUGGUGUGAUGGGUUCCUACCUUCUGAAUAACCGGCAUGCCAUUCAGUUGGUGCGCCGGGGAAGCAGAGCUAUUACCUUGAAAAAUUAGAGUGCUUAAAGCAGGCUAGUGCUUGAAUAGAUUAGCAUGGAAUAAUAAAAUAGGACGGCAUGGUUCUAUUUUGUUGGUUUCUAGGAUCACCGUAAUGAUUAAUAGGGAUAGUUGGGGGCAUUAGUAUUCAAUUGUCAGAGGUGAAAUUCUUGGAUUUAUUGAAGACUAACUUCUGCGAAAGCAUUUGCCAAGGAUGUUUUCAUUAAUCAAGAACGAAAGUUAGGGGAUCGAAGACGAUCAGAUACCGUCGUAGUCUUAACCAUAAACUAUGCCGACUAGGGAUCGGACGAUGUUAAUUUUUAAUGACUC
rnacentral:rRNA from 1 species